rnacentral:rRNA from 1 species
AUUUUGGACAAUGGGGGGAACCCUGACCCAGCCAUCCCGCGCGUGUGAUGAAGGCCCUCGGGUUGUAAAGCACCUUUGUCAGGGAAGAAAAGGCGCCGGAUAAUACCUGGCGCCGCUGACGGUACCUGCCGAAUACGCACCGGCCACCUCCGUCCCAGCAGCCGCGGUAAUACGUAGGGUGCAAGCGUUGAUCGGAAUUACUGGGCGUAAAGCGUGCGCAGGCGGUUCGGAAAGAAAGAUGUGAAAUCCCAGGGCUUAACCUUGGAACUGCAUUUUUAACUGCCGGGCUAGAGUAUGGCAGAGGGGGGUAGAAUUCCACGUGUAGCAGUGAAAUGCGUAGAGAUGUGGAGGAAUACCGAUGGCGAAGGCAGCCCCCUGGGAUAAUACUGACGCUCAUGCACGAAAGCGUGGGGAGCAAACA